UUUUCUUCCUUAUUUCCUUCCUAUCUUUCUCUAGUGAAGGUGAUUUUCUCUGGUGAUAUAAUAUUUUUUGUGUGUCCACUGCAUCUUGGAUGCUAAUUUGCUAUACUGAUGUCUAAUUAACCCUAGUUUAAGGAAGGUCUAAGAUAUCUAGCUUACCUAUUGUUCCUUAGGUAUGUUUCUAAUUUAAAACUUAAAGCCAGAGAUCAACCGGAGAAGUAAAGGGACUUGUCAAAUACCUCAGAAUCAUGAUGGUGUACAUGUUUCCCAAUUCUGAUUCUCUACCCUGAAACAGUAUUAGACUGUGUGUGUGUGUGUGUAUUAGUUUUACAACACAAUAUUCCCUCAACUCUGUUUCAAACUCAGAAGCAAGAGAGCAAGAACAUUUUUUCAGAGGUUAACUUUAAAAAAAAUGUAAAUGGUUCACACUUCGCUGAAAUCCUUUCCAUUAACAGUGCCCUAUUACGUCUUUGAGCAAACAUU
rnacentral:lncRNA from 1 species